UCUAGUAGCCGUUGAUUUUUAG
rnacentral:siRNA from 1 species